GACGGAGGAUGCAAGUGUUAUCCGGAAUCACUGGGCGUAAAGCGGCUGUAGGUGGUCAAAUAAGUCAACUGUUAAAUCUUGAGGCUCACCCUCAAAAUCGCAGUCGAAACUAUUAGACUAGAGUAUAGUAGGGGUAAAGGGAAUUUCCAGUGGAGCGGUGAAAUGCGUAGAGAUUGGAAGGAACACCGAUGGCGAAGGCACUUUACUGGGCUAUUACUACCACUCAGAGACGAAAGCUAGGGUAGCAAAUGGG
rnacentral:rRNA from 1 species